GACGAACGCUGGCGGCAUGCCUAAUACAUGCAAGUCGAGCGAACAGAUGAAGUGCUUGCACUUUUGACGUUAGCGGCGAACGGGUGAGUAACACGUAAGGAAUCUACCUAUAAGCGGGGGAUAACAUUCGGAAACGGGUGCUAAUACCGCAUAAUAUCUUCUUCCGCAUGGAAGAAGAUUGAAAGACGGCUCUGCUGUCACUUAUAGAUGACCUUGCGGUGCAUUAGUUAGUUGGUGGGGUAACGGCCUACCAAGACGAUGAUGCAUAGCCGACCUGAGAGGGUGAUCGGCCACAUUGGGACUGAGGCACGGCCCAAACUCCUACGGGAGGCAGCAGUAGGGAAUCUUCCGCAAUGGGCGAAAGCCUGACGGAGCAAUGCCGCGUGAGUGAAGAAGGCCUUCGGGUCGUAAAACUCUGUUAUAAGAGAAGAACAAAUUGUAGAGUAACUGCUACAGUCUUGACGGUAUCUUAUCAGAAAGCCACGGCUAAUUACGUGCCAGCAGCCGCCGCGG
rnacentral:rRNA from 1 species